rnacentral:rRNA from 1 species
ACGUUAGCGGCGGACGGGUGAGUAACACGUGGGUAACCUACCUAUAAGACUGGGAUAACUUCGGGAAACCGGAGCUAAUACCGGAUAAUAUUUCGAACCGCAUGGUUCGAUAGUGAAAGAUGGUUUUGCUAUCACUUAUAGAUGGACCCGCGCCGUAUUAGCUAGUUGUUAAGGUAACGGCUUACCAAGGCGACGAUACGUAGCCGACCUGAGAGGGUGAUCGGCCACACUGGAACUGAGACACGGUCCAGACUCCUACGGGAGGCAGCAGAA